ensembl:lncRNA
AUGAGCCACUCAACCUCUACUUUAGAAAGAAUAUUUUCUAGUUUUAUUGUGGAGCAUGAUCUUAUCUGUCAUGGAAUAUGCCUUUUGUCAUUUUAGGUCAGCUGUCCUGGCUGCGUCCCCAGCCAGCUUCUUGUUUAUUCUUGAGUUGUCACAACUGUUUUAGUCACAAGUCCAAAACCCAGUGCCAUAUGAAGAAAAUAAUCUUCAUGCCAACCAGACACUGUGAAGUAAAAUAUGAUUUUAAGCUUUUAAAUCCGAAGUUAUAUCAGCUAUCAUGGGGAAAAUGGAUAUGGCUCUUUGCAAGUGUAUCAGUUCCAGUGCUGAGACCUUGUGUGGAGGACAUCUGAUCAUCAAGUUUUUGUGAUGGAAACUGGUGUCUGUUGAACUUGACAUAAGUGUGGACCGUACAGUCUUCAGUGGGAAAGUUUAGGGGAAGAUUUGUCAGUCCAGUUUUCUUUACUAUCCUUUCUGUGACAAGAAAGGGGAAAAGAAAUACUGUGAGAGAUCUUGUUUAACAACUGCCGAUCUGUCUUGGUCUUCGGAUCAAGGAUGCAGGAUGAAGGGAGGGCAGUGAGUUGGGGCAGCCAUGCCCUGUCUGGGAGUGGAAUUCCUUCUCCUUGAUCAAUGGCCUGGUCUGAGAGGUACAGGGAUGGUACAGACUGGAGAGCACUGGAACUGCACCACUGGGAGUAUUCUAAGAUUACCUCAACUACUGAUCACCUCGCUAAGUGGUUGCUUCACCCAACUGUGGCCAGAAUGGGAAGUGUUGUGACUGAAGUCAAUUAUCUUGAAGUCCUUGGGAAGGGAGAGGUACAAAGGCUACACCUCAGUGAGCUGUCAGUGGUCUCAGGAUCAGAUGCCAACUGCAGUGCAUUGGUGAGGUUGUACCUUGGAGCUGAAUUCUUCAGAGCCUGGCACCUGGACAGAUGCAGGAGCAUUUCUCCUGAUGUAAACCACUGACCAAGCCUGGAACUGGAUGGAUCUGGCUGCAUCAAGGCUCCUUGGUUCCAUGGGUCAAGGAAUUUAGAAAGCAAAGGGGUCCACUCUGAAUACUGUGACUCAGCGGAAGGUCUCCUACAUGUGUGUUUACCCUACCAUCUAUGCAGUAAAUAAUCAAGUGUAGCCAGACAUCUCAAAUCUUAAGAUACUGCCUUAUUUACAGUUAAGCUUUGUUAAAUCAUGAUAUUGCAUUCAUAUUACAUCAAUGAACAAAUUCUAGCAAUAGUGUAGUUGUUUCAAGCCACGUCAGCUUGUGAGUUCUGCCCUGAUAGGAGGUCACAUCAGCAUGGUAUAUCUGAGUCCUGCUUUCACACAGUCCUCUGUUGUUUGAAAGUAGGAGCAGAAUUUGACACAUUAAGAAAAUUCUGCACCAUAAAACCUCUUGGUAAUUGCAGUUCAAGAAAUGUCACACUAAGUACAUCCCAAAUGUGCUCGUGGUUAUUUGGGUACUCUGAUAUUGCAAUGAAUGUUUUGUUGUAGUGUAAUUCCAUGUACAAUCACAAAGACUUUUUAACCAUGCAGUACCAUCAAAAGAAGUUUUCAUUUACCAGCAUAUGAUAGAGUUAAAUCGGUAUCCAGAAAAUCUUGUUUUUCUGUAUAAACAUCUCACUUUAAAUGGUCUUCUCAGAAGAAAAAUAAUUCUUGUUAAUUAUGCAUCUGGUCUUCAUACAAUUUUUAGUCAUCUUUUGUUUUCUUUUAAUUUAUCUGUGAAUAUAUUGAGGUUUGUUUAAUAAUACUGCAUAUUCCUCGGUGC